rnacentral:misc_RNA from 1 species
UUGUGGAGGAGGACGCCGAAGGUGGGGCUAAUGACUGGGGUGAAGUCGUAACAAGGUAGCCGUACCGGAAGGUGCGGCUGGAUCACCUCCUAACAGGGAGACAACAAAAUGUUUAAUAUUAUUAUUUUGUCACCUUAGGUCGAUCGGUAUCUCACGUUUUUAAUUUAUUAAGAAUUUCAUUUCCUAAGUUUUUCUAGGUCACACCCAUUAUUUUUCCUGGGCCAUUAGCUCAGGUGGUUAGAGCGCACCCCUGAUAAGGGUGAGGUCCCUGGUUCAAGUCCAGGAUGGCCCAUAUCUCUAUGUUGGGGGUAUAGCUCAGUUGGUAGAGCGCCUGCUUUGCAAGCAGGAUGUCAGCGGUUCGAGUCCGCUUACCUCCACUGAUUACCACCUCUUCCAUAACCGGUAGAAAGGAAAUGUUUUGAGUUGUGAUCAAAUUCUGAAAGAAUCUAGCUUCCUAAUGAAAUAAUUAAGAUGCUGGACUCAUUGAAUUAAUUUCAUUGUUUUCAGAGAACCUUGACAACUGCAUAGAUUAUUUUAAAGACAAUAAGCAUCUUUAAUGAUGCAGAUUUAUUAUUUGUGCGAAUGCAUUAAUAACAAUUCUAUUAAGCUGAUGCUUCAAUUUUGAAGUUAUUGGUCAAGCUACAA